rnacentral:rRNA from 1 species
UACGUAGGCAGCAAGCGUUGUUCGGAGUUACUGGGCGUAAAGGGUGCGUAGGUGGCUCUAUAAGUAUGGUGUGAAAUCUCCCGGCUUAACUGGGAGGGUGCGCCGUAGACUGUGGGGCUAGAGUGUGGGAGAGGAAAGUGGAAUUCCUGGUGUAGCGGUGAAAUGCGUAGAUAUCAGGAGGAACACCGGUGGUGUAAACGGCUUUCUGGACCAUAACUGACACUGAGGCAACGAAAGCCGUGGGUAGCAACAGG